GAUCCUGGCUCAGAAUCAACGCUGGCGGCGUGCCUAACACAUGCAAGUCGAACGCGAAAGGGGAGCAAUCCCUGAGUAGAGUGGCAAACGGGUGAGUAACACGUGGGUGACCUGCCUUCGAGUGGGGGAUAACGUUCCGAAAGGAACGCUAAUACCGCAUGACAUCCUGCUUUUGGAAAAGCGGAGAUCAAAGCUGGGGAUUCGCAAGAACCUAGCGCUUGAAGAGGGGCCCGCGCCUGAUUAGCUAGUUGGUGAGGUAACGGCUCACCAAGGCUACGAUCAGUAUCCGGCCUGAGAGGGCGGACGGACACACUGGGACUGAGACACGGCCCAGACUCCUACGGGAGGCAGCAGUGGGGAAUUGUUCGCAAUGGGCGCAAGCCUGACGACGCAACGCCGCGUGGAGGAUGAAGAUUUUCGGAUCGUAAACUCCUGUCGAGUGGGAAGAAUAGCCUGGGGGCGAAUAUCCCCGAGGUCUGACGGUACCACUAAAGGAAGCCCCGGCUAACUCCGUGCCAGCAGCCGCGGUAAUACGGGGGGGGCAAGCGUUGUUCGGAAUUACUGGGCGUAAAGGGCUCGUAGGCGGCCAACUAAGUCAGACGUGAAAUCCCCAGGCUCAACCUGGGAACUGCGUCUGAUACUGGAUGGCUUGAAUUCGGGAGAGGGAUGCAGAAUUCCAGGUGUAGCGGU
rnacentral:rRNA from 1 species